UUUUGCAUUAUCAUUUUACAUCAGAACACACCCAUGUUGUUUUAGUUUUCCCUUUCCUUCUUCUUAUUCCAUUUCCUAUAACUUCAACCUCAUUAUUUCAAAUAAAAUUAAAUCAUAAUUUUAUGUCCCAUGACAAAAGAAUAACCUAAAUAACUUGGUUUCAAAAUCAAUUUCUAAAGCAAAGCAAAACCAAAUUGGGGGUGCCGGAACAUCAUUGGAGCAGCCCAACCUUGUACGUAGCCACUAGUUAACUUAGCUUGUUCAUAAUUGGCGAUUUCUGAGAAGCGAAAUUGCUGGUACUAUUAGAAAUAGCUAUCUCCAGCUAUUUCUAAUCUCUCCGAAGCCGGAAAGAAGCCAAAAAGUGCGACCCUGAUUUCGAAGAUUAGUUAAUUCUUCAAUUUUUGAGAAAAUUUGGGGUUUUCUUCUAAGGUUUGUUAAUUCUUAUAAUGGAUGAUUUUUUACCUAAUUUUUUGAGUUUCUAUUUUGGGAUUUUCUUCUCUUUCACUUUGAUUGUUGAUCGAAUAUUUAGGGAUGGAUUUAAAUUUCGACAUGCAAUAACAUUUGGAUAUGAAAGACUUAGGGAUUUGGAAUAAAUUAUGAGGAUCUUGUUGAUAAUAUGGGGAUAACGAAAAUGUAAACCUAGACAAAAUCAUCAAUAUAAUCAUUCUAAAGACAGGGUUGUACUAGCUUUUAUUUAACUGAUGUCAAAACCUUAUCAUUUUUGGUUUAAAUCAAUGUGAUAAUGUUUGUUGUAGAAUUGUAAUUGUGAUGUUUCUAUAUAUUCCUAGAUUUUUGCAGUUUAUUCCAUUAUGUUCAGAUUUGAAAAAGAUAGCAGGGGUAUUUGCAGAAACUACUUAGGCUAGUCCUGCAUAUUAUCUGUUAUGGUUUGUGAUGUCUAGUAAUGUAAGUAACUUUUCAUAUUUGAUCAUCAUUGCAUUUAAUGAUUGUUUUUAUAUGCUUUUGAAAAUUCCUUAUAUGGCAAGAAUUACUAGCUGUUGUUACAAUUUAUCAUGAAUUCUUUCACCUGAUAAGGUUUGACAUAAAGUGGCCAGUCAUUACAUACUGUAAGAAUGUACGUAGUAGAAACACAAAACAUCAUGAUACCAUAUUCUAAAAGGAACCCGUUUAGUAUUUAGUGAAGCUUAUCUUUUAGUCAAAAUUCAUAUUAGAAGAAACCCUUUAGGGGUAGUUGAUUUUCCACUAAUCUUUUAUGGUCCUUCGCCUAGAGUAUGAAAAUUCUGGGAUUGUUUUAAAUGGCAUUUGAAAAAUGAUCAUUGACAAUAUAAUCUUCCUCUUUUUAGAUUUCAUGGUCCAAAUAGCUUUGUGUCUCGGAUAAAUUCAUUAAGGUGACUCAUAAGACACAGUUGUUAUGGGCCAUCAUUUGGGACACUAAAUUGCAAUCUUUUCAUCUCCUUAUUGAACAUGAGUUGUACGUCCUUUUAGUUCCUUUUCCUUUUGUCAUACUUUUUAUCAUUAUAACCUAAGUCGUUAUCUAGAAUUUCAACUGUUAUUGGUAUUUGAUUAUUUAUGGUACUAAGAGAAACUAAGGUAGCUACGGUCAAGUAAUCAAAGUCUCAAACAUGAUCAAAGUUUGUUGUUUAUGACAUGUAGAUAUUUGGGGCUUCCUGGUACCUAUUAUCUACCAAACGCAAAAGUACAUGUUGGAAUAUAGCAUGUUUCAAGAAUGACCAGUGCAAGGAACAAUUAUCUCAUCUGUACUAUGAACAUGAAACAAACUUUAAUAUUACAAAAUGGAAAGACAUUGGUAAGAAGGUUCUUGAUGAAAAUUGUGUAAGGAGGACAAAUUUAAGUAUUAAAUAUAUGAAAGAGCUAUAAAAAUUGUGUUCUUGACAUGGAGGAUUUCAUUGUCAAAUAUUAUUUUUGUCUGUGGUGGGGCUUGCAGAACUUGAGCACAUUUGGUUAGGGGCUUGAAACCAGUAGCUAUACUCUGGAAAAUAUCUUUUUGAUUAUAUUGGGCAUUUUCGGACUCCUGCUAUUUGCUAUUCUCAUUGGAACCAUGCAGGUGCAUAGACUAAAGAAGCUUUCUUUUCAUUUUUUGGGCUAAGAUUCUUUAGAAGAUGAUGCAGAAUAAUAAUACAUAAGUUUUUAGUGUGAUACUUCUUUUAUACUUUACUUCUUAUAGCUGCUUUUUAUUAUUUAUCCUUCUAAUAGUAUUAUUUGGUCAGAGUGGAUAAAAAUUUGGUCUUUCCCCACCCUUAUUGUUUCAAAUUCAGAUUGGUUCAAACGAUAAAAAUAGAGGGCUUACGUAACCUACUUUGUUACUUUCUAAACAAAUGGAAUGAUUUAUAACAACCUAUUAAUUACUUGAUUAAGUGAAAUGAUUGUAUAUAUUAAACUCCAGGAACAUAUAAUUUUGUAAUAAGUACCGCCAGUGCUUGUUGGGUUAUUAAAGUUCAUACAUUAUAAUAGUGCUUAAACUUUGGCUUUGUGUACCCUACAAACCUAUUUUAAAUCUCUGACAAAAUGGCUUGAGGAGAUGAGGAUCAAAAGGCGUUACUCAGAGCAGUGGAUGCAUUAUAAAGUACUUCCUCCUGAGCUAAGGGAGAGAGUUCAGCGUUAUGAUCAGUACAAAUGGUUGGAAACUAAAGAAGUAGAUGUGCAGAGUUUGAUGCAAAAUAUGCUCGAAGACAUUAGGAGGGAUAUUAAGCAGCAUCUCUGUUUGAAUUUGGUCAGAAGGGUUCCCUUGUUUGAGACCAUAUACGAGUGGAUGCUCGAUGCCAUAUGUGAGCGAUUGAAACCAAGUUUAAGCACAGAAAAGGUGUACAUGGUUAGAGAAGGAGAUCUAGUUAAUGAAAUGAUCUUUAUAAUCUGUGGUCCUCUAGAAAUUGUAAAAACUGAUGGUGGGAGGAGUGGAUUCUUCAACAGAGGUAUCCUAAAAGGAAACGACUUUCGUGGUGAGGAGCUACUAACAUUGGCAAUGGAUCCAAAAUUUGGUUUAAACUUGCCACCAUCGACUAGGACAGUUAAGGCUUUGAAGUAAGUGCUGAUGCAUUUGUUCAAUGUCUUCUGGUAAUAUCAAGGACAAAGUUGUGUAGCCAAUGGAAACUAUGAUUUAGGGAUACAUUGUGAGACUUUCCUCGCAAAGGGCAAUGUCGGAUUGCACUAUACUCGAAUUCAGCUCGUUAAUCCUCUAUCAAAGGUGCCUUUUCGAACUGAUUAUGAUUUAUUCAGAUUUACUUGUGUUAUAAGUAGAUGAAUCCCAGGAUUCUCUAAGUAAAAGUUUUAAGAACUUUAGCUAAAAGGAUUGUCAUUUAAUCGGUACCCUUGGCUGACGAUGCACAAUUCUUUUGCCAAAUUGAAAGAGAAGUCUGGGAUAGGAGAUGUAAUAUUAGCUCCAAUGAAUUAGUAGGACACCAUCACCAAACAACUAAAUAUAAGUAUGCUAACGCAUUUAUCUCUUUAUUCUAUGAUGCCAAAACAGAGCAACAUGUCAAACAUCAUUCAAAUAAAAGGAUGUUAGUUAACAUAAUGGGCAAAAAAGUCCUCAGAAUCAACCUUUGAGAAAUUUUGAACUCAGAUUGAGAAUUAUGCAUUACUUCCUAUUCUAUAUAUGAAAGUUCGUGAGGUAUUUCUGUACCUUUAUUACUUUUAUUAGUAUUUUAUAUAAAUUUAAAGUCUAUGUGGGGCACCUUGAGAAUUCUAAAGUUGAACUAGUCAAUCUUAUAGUUGUUAGUUGUUGCACUCUUAUUGAUUUUUGUGUUUCUAUGUAAUUUAAUAUGUGGACUUCAUUAUAUUAUGCAGCUUUAUUAGGUAUUGAUAGCGAUGCUAGUGAAGUCUAUCUUAUGUUUCUUGCAAUUUUUUUUUAUUUUUUUUGAUUUUAUAUAUAGAGUCCAUUUUAUGUCUUUACUACAGUCUAAUAAGAAAUGUUUUGUGUCCAUUUUAUGUUGUUCUUAAGUUAAUGUUUUGCAUCCAAUUUAAAUAUCAUUUCAAUGGUAGAAUAGAAAUAAAAAGGUAAAGAAAAUGUUUUUCUUUGUGACAAAACUAGACAUUAUAGUAAUGAUAGAAAUAGAUUCCCCGAUUACUCUGAAUCAUACAUAUUGUGUUUGGUGUUAUCAUAAGAAACUGAGAAAUUAAGUAAGUAAUAUAUUAGAAUGAUUCCUUAGUUAUACAUAAUAAGAUAAGUAAAAACUCGAUAUCCCAUGACCAUUUAUAGCAAUCCCUAUAAUCUCAAUGAACAAGAAGAGUAGACAAAGAAUACCUCAAAGAGCACAAACAAUGUGAUGAUUAAGACGAAGAAAAAAUGGUAAACAUAAAAGGGAGCUAAAAUAAGGUAAAAGAAAUUAGAAUAGAGAUCUUUUCUAAAGAAUAAAAUAUCAAUAAUCUUAUGGAAAAGCUUUCAAGAACUAGAGGAAGUCUAAAGAGAUGUAACGAGUACACAACCAGCUAUUAGUCAAAUAAAUAUUUAUAUAAUUGCUAAUAUGUGAAAAACGCCAAUGUACAUAUUUUUUCCUUUUCGUUGGUUACUAAACUUACCAGUUCUCAUCCUCAUCCUAGACCCCCACCCUAAGCAUGUCUUUCUCAUUCCUGGCUAGAAAAUUAGUGAGAUAAUUAAUAAUACAGUAUGAGGUGAACGUUGAAAAUAAGACACAUCAAUAUAGAACAAUAGGAUUGAAUCAGUACCAAUCUUUGAUGAGCAGUACAAUAGUCCUGGUAAAAAAUCCUCAACAAAUUUUGGCUUCACUCGACGAACUUAUGUAAAUUUGUGUUGAAAAAAUUGUGAAUGUUUACUGUCAUGAUCUAAAAAUACAAAACCAUGAUAGAGCCUACUCCAACCCAAUCUUUGUAGGUAAGCCUGGCGCAUAGACAAAGUUAACUAAAUUGAAGAUCAAAUAAUGAAAUAAAACUCAAGAUUUAAAAUAAAGAUGAACCAACAAUUAAAAAUAACUCAAUAUCUGGAAAUACACCUUAAAAUCCCAAGAAAUAGUGCCAUCAAUAGAGAGUGACUCUAAACCAAAAUCAACAACUAGUAUAUAAAGUAUCUAUCUCUAAAAUGAAAUAACUACAAAAGCAGGAUAGAACAAGCUGAAAAUAUGCUUCGAACGGGGAUUUCACGGCAGUUUCGAUAACUCAGAAAUGUACGAUCAGUGUCUGCGGGUAGCACGCAUACCAAGAUCUGCACUUUGACGAUUUACAAUCUGAGGUGAUGAUUUUACUUACCCCGAUCUAACCUUAGUAGGUACGCCCAAACUCUAACAUAGAAUAAAUAAAGAAAAGAAGAUAAAUAGUAAUCAAAACACGAGACUUUAAAAUAAAUCCAAGAUAAUAUGAUAAACCAACUCAAUAUCUAAAAUUAUACAACUUAAAUCCACAACAAACUAAUUUCAUGAGUAAAGAGCACUCUAAAAUCGACAUAAAGUACAAAUGUAUAAUAUCUGUCACUAACGUAAGCUAAAGACAUAAGAAAUUAGAUGAAGCUGAAAACAAGAUAAGAAUGGGGAGCUCCCCCUUAAAUCAAAAUCCCAAAGCUGCACGAGGUUACAAUCCGUGGAUAGCACUCAAACUAGGAUUUGCAUCAAAAAGGUAAGAAGUUAGGAGUAAUUACGGUUGACCAAGCUAAGUACACAACUAAAAAUAUAAAAUAAUGCUAUGCAUGAUAUAUCCAUCCAACAAAUAGAAAAGUUUGAACGUGUCACAACUCAACUAACCCAAUCGUUUGGGAACCUACUCUAAUUCACCAAGAUAGGAGAACUCUUACCACCCGACUAAACUACAUUAAAAAGUCAUUGGGAUAAAGUAAACCCUUCAUUUAUUGUAAAUGGCCUAACAGACCUCUGUACUUGUAUGAGCUUAUAUUUUGGACUCUUCUACUCAUCUCAUUAUCAACUAAACACUUAAACUCAAUCAGAACAAGUUUUUAAAACCUCCCUAAUCAUUGACAAAGCUCACGUUGAAUUUAUUUUGCUGACUCAAUUAAAAUAUGGUGUGUCACACUCUCUAAAGCAAGUGGAUGUUGUGAAUUGCUUUAAAAAAAUGCUAAAAUCAAAAGACAAAAAAACUAAAUAUUUAAAAAAUGAGAAAAACAGAAGUUCACAACCCUUCCCUCUAUUUCUUCCACUACUCUCCACCCAAUGUUAUCCAACAAACCUCCGUCAACAAUUGAAGUUUUAGUGAAUAUUGAUGGCAUCAAUCGAGGUUUAGAUCUUGAAAAAGAAUUGACCAUCAAUGGUGAUAGUUUGUAACAGUGAUUCUGCUCCAAUGAUUAUGGAUCUUCCAUGGUGGUGGUGUAGUGAUUCAAGAGAGGGACGAAGAAGAAGGAUUGACAGGAGAGUAAAUAGAUUCAUUUUUUCAACAUCGUGCUUUUAUUUAUUGUGUCUGCUUUUCUUAUUGAACAAGAAGACCCCAAAUUUAUAGAUUUGUUUGAUAUCUGUCAAAUUUCUUCUGAUAAAGUGAUGCUCCUAAACUUUUUUCGGAUUUAUUAUUCAAAAUUUAAAUAAAGGUAAAUGUCAUGAAAACUUUCUGCUCAUUAUUGAGAAAUUUUGUGUAUCCGUUUGUGUUUUUAUGCAUAAAAGUGGUCUUUUUGAAAUAUAAGAUUAGUGAGCGUCAAUGAAUUUUUCUCGAUGUCCCUUUUUCUUUGUGAAGAAAAAUUUAGAUGAAAGAAAAAGAGAAUAAAGGGUUGGAGGUGAUGGUGAUGGUGAUGGUGGUUGUGGUGAAGGUGAUGGCGGUGAUCGUGGGUUGGGAGAGGUGGAGGAAGAUGAGAGAAGUGGGAGUGGGAAUUUUACUUUAAAAAAUUUGCAAACUCAUUAUAUUGCCUUUUAUUUAAUAUUUAUUAUUAAUAAUUUUUAAAAUAGUUAAUGAAGAUAAUUAUGACAUGGCUUUAGUUUAUGUGAUCUGGAUUUGACAUGUUAUCUACGUAAGGGUGAGUGAGCUGCACAUGUGGUAGUAGGUGUUUAAAAUCUUGUAUUUUGAUGGAUUGAGAGGUUCAAAUGACAAAGGAUUAAGUAGAGGUGUCCACUUUAUAAAUCCGGACAAGUACAAGGGUUCAGUAGACCAUUUUGCCUAACUUUUUUUACAAAACUUUAUGUACAAAUAAAUAUUUUUUCCCCAAAGACUUAGUUUAAAUAAGUGCAAGAGCUACUACCUUAGGGUUCAGUAGACCAUUUUGCUUAACAUUUCUAACAAAACUUUAAGUACAAAUAAAUACUUUUUCCCCAAGGACUUAUUUUAAAUAAGUACGAGUGCUAAUACCUUCCACAGCAAGAGGCAAUAAUAAAAGUUGUUGGAGAUCACUACCACACUAGGCACGCUCCGUCAGUGUUGAGCUUGUAAGGGAUGUUCAUGGGGGGAAGCCAACAAACAUGAAUAGUGGCUUCCUGGUAAGGGGAACAGGGUGAAGGCAUAAGAUAAGAGUAUUCAACAGCAUUUGCAUAAGCAUUCUUGAAAGAGGGAGAAGCAUUUAAAUUGUUAAACAGAUUAUCAUUCCUGCACCUCCAAAUUUCCCACAAGCAAAACAUGAUUAGAGGUUUUAUGUAUUGAUCCGCCAUGCUAUUGCCAGCCCAGUCCUUAACAAUGCUGAUCUUUUGGAAGAAAACAUUCCAAAGAGAGUUGGCUUUUGGCAGUACCAGAAGAUGAAGAUAUGAGGAAUGUCUUUAUUUUGGCCUGUGCAAAGCUUACAAUGGGGUUUAAUAGGCAUACUCAUACGACUAAGAGUUGAGUUGCAAGGGAUCCUAUCAUGAUUAAGUAGCCAAAGAAAAUGGUUCAUCUUGCUAGGGAUUUUUAAGGAUCAAAUCCAUAUGUAAUCCUGUUGACUAAGAGGAGGCUGAGUUUUGGAAGUGAUGAGCUUAUAGGAACUUUUAGUGGUGAAAAUCCCUUUACCAGUGAGAGUCCAAAUAGGAUAAUCAUUUGUGCCUAAGGUAUCCG